UCACGCGAUUGGAGCGGCCGAUGGCAGAUUAGGUAGUUGGUGGGAUAAAAGCUUACCAAGCCGACGAUCUGUAGCUGGUCUGAGAGGACGACCAGCCACACUGGGACUGAGACACGGCCCAGACUCCUACGGGAGGCAGCAGUGGGGAAUUUUGGACAAUGGGCGAAAGCCUGAUCCAGCAAUGCCGCGUGCAGGAUGAAGGCCUUCGGGUUGUAAACUGCUUUUGUACGGAACGAAAAAGCUUCUCCUAAUACGAGAGGCCCAUGACGGUACCGUAAGAAUAAGCACCGGCUAACUACGUGCCAGCAGCCGCGGUAAUACGUAGGGUGCGAGCGUUAAUCGGAAUUACUGGGCGUAAAGCGUGCGCAGGCGGUUAUGUAAGACAGAUGUGAAAU
rnacentral:rRNA from 1 species